AAGUUUUUAGUUUAUAAUUAAAAUUUUUGUUUGUGGUACAAAAGAUUUUUAAAACUUA
rnacentral:tRNA from 1 species